UACGGGGGGGCAAGCGUUGUUCGGAAUCACUGGGCGUAAAGGGAGCGUAGGCGGGUUCUUAAGUAAGGUGUUUAAUCCCGGGGCCCAACCCCGGACCGGCACUUUAAACUGGGAAUCUUGAAUAGUGGAGAGGUCGGUGGAAUUGGGGGUGUAGCGGUGGAAUGCGUAGAGAUCCCCAAGAACACCAGUUGCGAAGGCGGCCGACUGGACACAUAUUGACGCUGAGGCUCGAAAGCAUGGGGAGCAAACAGG
rnacentral:rRNA from 1 species